UACGGAGGGUGCUAGCGUUGUUCGGAAUCACUGGGCGUAAAGGGCGUGUAGGCGGUCUGUUAAGUCUGAUGUGAAAUCCCCUCGCUCAACGAGGGAACUGCGUCGGAUACUGGCAGACUCGAGUACCGGAGAGGAAGGUGGAAUUCCCGGUGUAGCGGUGAAAUGCGUAGAUAUCAGGAGGAACACCUGUGGUGUAGACAGCUUACUGGACCACUUCUGACGCUGAGACACGAAAGCGUGGGUAGCAAACAGG
rnacentral:rRNA from 1 species